UUGUCUCUUAGAGUUCCUUUGAACGCUUCAUGCAUGAGAUGACUAUCUAUCUAUUUGGUCUAAAAUCCAUUAGAAAAGAUCGUAUUUUAUUUAAUGAAGUGUUUGGGGGAACUCUUGGGUACAA
rnacentral:pre_miRNA from 1 species